rnacentral:rRNA from 1 species
AGAGUUUGAUCCUGGCUCAGGACGAACGCUGGCGGCGUGCUUAACACAUGCAGGUCGAACGGGAAGGCCCUUUCGGGGGUACACGAGUGGCGAACGGGUGAGUAACACGUGAGCAACCUGCCCUUGACUCUGGAAUAACAGUUGGAAACAGCUGCUAAUACUGGAUAUUCAUCGUCUCCUUCCUGGGGGGUGGUGGAAAGCUCCGGCGGUCAGGGAUGGGCUCGCGGCCUAUCAGCUUGUUGGUGAGGUAAUGGCUCACCAAGGCUUCGACGGGUAGCCGGCCUGAGAGGGCGACCGGCCACACUGGGACUGAGAUACGGCCCGACUCCUACGGGAGGCAGCAGUGGGGAAUAUUGCACAAUGGGCGCAAGCCUGAUGCAACAACGCCGCGUGCGGGAUGACGGCCUUCGGGUUGUAAACCGCUUUCAGUAUGGACGAAGGGUGACUGACGGUACCUACAGAAGAAGGACCGGCUAACUACGUGCCACNGNCCGCGAUGAUACGUAGGGUCCGAGCGUUGUCCGGAAUUAUUGGGCGUAAAGGGCUUGUAGGCGGUCCGUCGCGUCAGAAGUGAAAACUCAGGGCUUAACCCUGAGCCUGCUUUUGAUACGGGCGGACUAGAGGGAUGCAGGGGAGAACGGAAUUCCUGGUGGAGCGGUGGAAUGCGCAGAUAUCAGGAGGAACACCGGUGGCGAAGGCGGUUCUCUGGGCAUUACCUGACGCUGAGAAGCGAAAGCGUGGGGAGCAAACAGGCUUAGAUACCCUGGUAGUCCACGCCGUAAACGGUGGGCACUAGGUGUGGGGGACAUUCCACGUUCUCCGUGCCGAAGCUAACGCAUUAAGUGCCCCGCCUGGGAGUACGGCCGCAAGGCUAAACUCAAGGAAUUGACGGGGCCCGCACAGCGGCGAGCAUGCGAUUAUCGAUGC